ensembl:miRNA
UGCUUCCUUUCUCAGCUGAACCCCUGCCCCUGGAGCCCCCAGCAGUGCCCCCUGAGGAGGAGCUGCAGC